rnacentral:rRNA from 1 species
AUCCCUUGUAGACGACUUGGAUUUUGGAACGGGUAUUGUAAGGAGCAGAGUAGCUUAUUUUUUUUUUGUUAAUUACCAUGCUGCGAUCUCUUGAGAUUUAGCCCGGAAUUUUU